rnacentral:rRNA from 1 species
GACGAACGCUGGCGGCGUGCCUAAUACAUGCAAGUAGGACGCAGUUGCGAACGGGUGAGUAACGCGUAGGUAACUGCCUAUUAGAGGGGGAUAACUAUUGGAAACGAUAGCUAAUACCGCAUACUAGUAGAUGGACCUGCGUUGUAUUUGCUAGUAGGUAGGGUAAUGGCCUACCUAGGGGACGGUACAUAGCCGACCUGGUGGGGUGGACGGCAACACUGGGACCGUGAAACGGGCCAGACUCCAACGGGGCGCAGCAGGAGGGAAUCUUCGGCAAUGUGGGGAAGCCGUACCGAGCAACGCCGCUGGAGGGAAGAAGGUUUUCGGUACGUAAAGCUUUGUUGGUAAGGAAGCGGUACUUGACCAGAAAGGGACGGCGAACUACGUGCCAGCAGCCGCGGUAAUUC